AUUGAACGCUGGCGGCAGGCCUAACACAUGCAAGUCGAACGGUAACAGGAAGAAGCUUGCUUCUUUGCUGACGAGUGGCGGACGGGUGAGUAAUGUCUGGGAAACUGCCUGAUGGAGGGGGAUAACUACUGGAAACGGUAGCUAAUACCGCAUAACGUCGCAAGCCCAAAGAGGGGGACCUUCGGGCCUCUUGCCAUCGGCUGUGCCCAGAUGGGAUUAGCUAGUAGGUGGGGUAACGGCUCACCUAGGCGACGAUCCCUAGCUGGUCUGAGAGGAUGACCAGCCACACUGGAACUGAGACACGGUCCAGACUCCUACGGGAGGCAGCAGUGGGGAAUAUUGCACAAUGGGCGCAAGCCUGAUGCAGCCAUGCCGCGUGUAUGAAGAAGGCCUUCGGGUUGUAAAGUACUUUCAGCGGGGAGGAAGGGAGUAAAGUUAAUACCUUUGCUCAUUGACGUUACCCGCAGAAGAAGCACCGGCUAACUCCGUG
rnacentral:rRNA from 1 species